CUGAUUCUGAUUCUGAUUCUGAUUGAGUAUGAAUCUGAAUCAUUUAAAUAAGAGUCUGACGCAUAGAGACCUUCUGACAAUGGGAUCUCCACAUGUUGAAAACAACAGCACUAGAAAAGAUGGACGGAAAAGUGGGAUAGUUUGUUGGGGAAGUGCAUUUUCCUGGGAUCUAAAUGCCAGGGUUGGAUUCAGUUUUUAACGUUCUGCGUUGGCUGUCAGCGCUGGCCACUUUGCUACUCAUACUGGCUAUUGGAUCCUACGUCUCUCAAGUUAAAGUGCUCACGAUAACUUGCUUGUGGCAAAUUCAACGACUUGGAG
rnacentral:misc_RNA from 1 species